rnacentral:sRNA from 1 species
GCCUGGCCAACAUGGUGAAACCCAGUCUCUACUAAAAAUACAAAAAUUAGCCAGGCGCUGUGGUGGGUGCCUGUAGUCCCAGCUACUCGGGAGGCUGAGGCAGGAGAAUCGCUUGAACCCAGGAGGCGGAGGUUGCAGUGAGCCGAGAUUGCGCCACUGCACUCCAGCCUGGGCAAUAGAGCAAGACCCUGCCUCAAAAAUAAAUAAAUAACCCACAGAGCUGAGCACAGGCUUCCUCAUGCUUUUCCUUUGGAAGGUGUCCUAGAUAUAUGAUGAUUUCUUUUUUCUUUCACCUCCUCUUGAUUGUCACAAGUAGCUUGCUUGGCUCAGGAACAACAGAAGAGAAUAAAGAAAAUGACCUCAGACCUUCUUUACCUCAGUCUUAUGCAGCAACCGUAGCCAGACCAAGUGCAUCUUCAGCCUCCACGGUGCCAGGUUAUUCUGAGGACGGCGGGGCGCUGCGAGGAGAAGUUAUUCCUGAACAUGAGUUUGCGACGGGACCAGUGUGUCUUGAUGAUGAGAAUGAGUUUCCUCCUGUGAGCAUUAGGAACCCGUAACUGGGCGGCUCAGUCUGUGUGCUUAGAAGGAAACCUUCGCCUCAUACGAGAGGCAGAGUCCCUUUCCCUGUUUUCUAAUCUAUAACAACUAAUUCUCUGCUCUAGUAUUUGGAAAGCCAUAGGAUAUC